AAACCACACGGGGUGAGAACUACAAAAAUAUAGUUCCCAGUGGGUUCGGCCGCCGACUCCGCCGAUCUUCCCACUAGGUCUAAGCUGGCACAGAUAGAUAGAUAGAUAGAUAGAUAGAUAUUGAACUGCAACUAUGAUCUAUUGUGCCAUCAGAUGCAAGCAAUGCAUGAAUAUCAACUAGCAAUAAGCCUACUAUCAUGAUAAUAUGCUUCAACGAUGUAAUGAAUACAAAUACGACAUAGUUAGGCAAUCCACUAACAUAUACUAUGUCUAAUCAGGGUAUGAAUGCAAAUCCACUUAUGCUAUUCAUGUCAUUACCCAAUCCACUAGGCUACCCCGCCUAAGAUCUCAACCACAUAGGUGAAGGACUACCCCGCCCUUGUCUCACCCGUCUCACAACUCUAAUGCUACGGUAAAGAGCUACCCCGCUCUUCGCCCCAACUCUAACUCAAACUCAUAGGUCAAGAGCUACCCCGCUCGUAGGUAAAGAGCUACCCCGCUCCUAGGUAAAGAGCUACCCCGCUCAUAGGUAAAGAGCUACCCCGCUCAUAGGUAAAGAGCUACCCCGCUCAAAUCUCACAGGUGAAGAGCUACCCCGCCCUUCGCCCGACUCACUUCCCAGUCCAAUGGGUGGGGAGCUACCCCGCUCGUAUCCCACCCGAUGAGCUACCCCGCUCGUGAGCUACCCAGCUCGUGUGACAACUCCGGAGUGCACUGCUUGUGGGGAGCGACCGCCACAAGCCCAAAACAGACUAUGUGAGUAUGAUCCAAUCCUCGCCAACUGAGGAUACCCUGUCAACUAGGGUUAACAAGCACUCGAAAGUCCACCUAUCCCUAGGUCCAUGUCACGUGUCUCAACCAUAUCAAAUCUCAAUGCCACUUACCUAGGUCUAAGCAACUCUAGGUUCCACAACAGUAGGUUUAAUGUCAACCUAUGUUUAACAACAUUAUAUUAAUGCCACUCGAUCUAUCCUAGGUUCACGACACUAGGUUUAGAUGCCACAUAAUCUCCAUAAUUAACAAUAGGUUAACAUUCAUUUCAUCUAGCAUAUAUGUUCUAUAGAGCCAACAUACAUCAUAAUGCUAAUAUGCCAUUAUCAACUAGCAUGCAAUCCAUUCAUAAUGCUACAUGCAUACAAUCUCCAUUACUCUAGUUCACAUGUCACUAGUUUCAUUAUCAAGUCCAAGUUCUUUAUUCUCUUAUCAUCAUAGGAUCUCAUGUCUCAACCUUAAUCAUCAUGCAUUCUAGAUUUUAAGUGUCAAGUCUAUAAUACUACAC
rnacentral:lncRNA from 1 species